GCGCGGCGAAAAACCUUACACACAGUGUUUUUUGUUAUUACAAGAACUUUUGCUUUGGUCUGGACUAGAAAUAGUUUGGGCCAGAGGUUUACUGAACUAAACUUCAAUAUUUAUAUUGAAUUGUUAUUUAUUUAAUUGUCAAUUUGUUGAUUAAAUUCAAAAAAUCUUCAAAACUUUCAACAACGGAUCUCUUGGUUCUCGCAUCGAUGAAGAACGCAGCGAAAUGCGAUAAGUAAUAUGAAUUGCAGAUUUUCGUGAAUCAUCGAAUCUUUGAACGCACAUUGCGCCCUCUGGUAUUCCAGAGGGCAUGCCUGUUUGAGCGUCAUUUCUCUCUCAAACCUUCGGGUUUGGUAUUGAGUGAUACUCUUAGUCGAACUAGGCGUUUGCUUGAAAUGUAUUGGCAUGAGUGGUACUGGAUAGUGCUAUAUGACUUUCAAUGUAUUAGGUUUAUCCAACUCGUUGAAUAGUUUAAUGGUAUAUUUCUCGGUAUUCUAGGCUCGGCCUUACAAUAUAACAAACAAGUUUGACCUCAAAUCAGGUAGGAUUACCCGCUGAAACUAAGGCAUAU
rnacentral:rRNA from 1 species